CAAGGCUAACCCUGAACAGAAGCACAUCUUACUGAGAUUCUAAUUUAAGGAACGGCAGAGUGAUGCUCCAGCAAUGCAGUAUACCUAGCCAGUUUAAGGCUAUUUGUUAAACGUGAAUACAUUUAUGAUAUAGUGGAUUGGAAGAGAUAUAACAUCAUCUCGGAAAAUUUCUACUGCUGGAUAACACACUUUGAAGGGUCUCUUUGGUGUCACAAAUGUGCUGUGGAGCUGUGGACAAAACAGAACUCCUCCAAAGCAGGGAUUGUGGUUAUUUUAUACCUGUGAUUCUUAGCCACACAGUGUCUGAGCUGAACUAGAUUUCAAAGAAUACUUAGAAGGUAAGCAGCACAAGAACUAUUUUUGGUUCUGUAAACUCUUUCCUCUAUAUAACUGAAAUAUAGUGA
rnacentral:lncRNA from 1 species